AAUCUUGGCUCAGGAUGAACGCUAGCUACAGGCUUAACACAUGCAAGUCGAGGGGCAGCAUCAUCAAAGCUUGCUUUGAUGGAUGGCGACCGGCGCACGGGUGAGUAACACGUAUCCAACCUGCCGACAACACUGGGAUAGCCUUUCGAAAGAAAGAUUAAUACCGGAUGGCAUAAUUUUCCCGCAUGGGAUAAUUAUUAAAGAAUUUCGGUUGUCGAUGGGGAUGCGUUCCAUUAGGCAG
rnacentral:rRNA from 1 species